ensembl:lncRNA
CGGGAGCCGGAGGGGCUCAUCGGCCCGCAGAGUUUUGCUGAGUUGUCCAACUCCGAUCAUCGGAACCGAACAGCAGAAAGUGACCAAAUAAGCGCCGGAGCAUUUCGGGUUAUGUCUGUUGCAAACAAAUAAGCGCCGGAGCUCUUUGGGUUAUGUGUUGAAAUACAGCGAUGUUCCCUUACGGUGAAUCGUGCGACACGCGAGUAAACUUAUUACGGGAUGCUUGGAGGGGGAGAGAAGCUGUUACCUGGAUGGAGCGCAGCGCAGCGCAGCGCAGGACUCGCCUCGCUGGGUGUCAGGGAGGGGGUGGCGAUGCGCUGCAGCGCAGACGGGCGCUGGGAGCUGCGGGAGCUGCCCGACCCGCUCGGGGCAGCGGUGGCUCUCGGUGCGCCCCACGCAGUUGUUGGUAUCAGCCCGAGCCUUAACGCUGGGGGCUUCGUUAACGCCGCUGCCGUUGGCAGCCUUUGUCCUUCAGGGCAGGAUCCGGCUCGGCCGGUGCGCAUCCCUCAUCCCUGUUUUGCGCUGUUGCGUUCGUAAGGGGAUUUUCGUAGCGCUGGAAAUGGCACGUGAACAAAAAGUUAGAAGGAAAAAAAGAGUUUUUUUUUUAAAAAUGCUUAAAAAAAAAAAGAAAGAAAGAAAAAAGAAAAAAAAGCAAAAGGCAGCGGGGGAAGGAGCUCUGAAUAAACGCAUCUGCAAGCAAUCUCCCCAGUGCACCCUGCUUGUCUUUUGCUAUCUUGCCCCAAGACUUUUUUGCUUGCAGACUGUGGGGGAGUAGUUAUCUGUGGGGGAGCUGGAAGGUCUGGCCAGGAAACCUUCAAGUAGGAGCACUUUCCCUUCUAAGCAGACCCAGGAGAAAAUGCAGUGGGAGAGAAGAUCCACUCUUCUGAGGACAGAGUCCUUGGCCAACGUUGAGUGAAUCCUGCUGCAACAUAGGACAGUGGUCAUCAUUGUCAUUGUUAUACUGGCCUCCAAAACCCAGAGUCCUGCUCUAGAUGGUUCUGCUACUAACGAGGAUGAUGCAAGGAUGGAGAAAAUUGGGUGUUGGAUGGAACUGGUGACCACCAGGGCUUCACUUCUCAUCUCUGCUGACGCGCCCUAAAACCGGGCUCCCCUCCAGUGCGUUUGGAGCAGCAGUGCUGACAACGUUGUGCUGAACCCUCCAUCCACCACUGAGGAAAACACACAGCGGAGGAAAGUCAGGUUCCAGAUUGCUCAGCAGAAAGGAGAAACCAGCUUGGAAGCCCCUCUGGAAGAAGGCCAGGCAGUAAUCUCACGGCGUGUGGGAAGAUCUGGAAAGGCUGAAAAACGUGGAGAGGAAAAAUGCAGCAAGCUCUUAUCAGAAAACAGGAACCUGUGAUGGUCAGCCCUUCACUGGAGAUGGAUCCCUCAGCACUGGUUUUGGGAAGUAAGUGCUUGCAGUGGCCUAAGUCUGUCAUUACUGGAAGUCCUCUUCCUACCUCUGUUGUUUAGCAUGAGUCAGUCUGUCUUUGCUGCUGUCCUCUUGUCUGUCCAACCUGAGACAGAGUUACUGCUAGCUAAAUGAAAUGCUUUUCAUGCAUCCCUGUUGUCUUCAAGAGGCUGUAGUUCUAGCUUGUCAAGAUGAAGCAAAAGGCCUAAUUUUGGCACCGUUCUUUAAUAGCUGUCUUGCUUGGACUCUGAGUAUCUCCAUCUUCAAAAUAGGGCUGAUACUAAUUGCCUAUUUGCAAUGUAUUUCCAGAUGCGUGGCUGUAAAGUGCUGUAUGAAAAAAACAGGCAUUGUUGUUAUGAAACUUUCAGGAAAAAAAAAUUAAUAGAUUCAUAUAACUCCACAGUCAUUAAAACAAACCGUAUGUGGAUGGAAGAGACCAGAGCUGAAUAAACCUUGAGCAAACACAGCCUUUAACAAUGAAACACAAACUGGUUUUAAUCAGCGGUGCCAAAUAAGUUUUAUUUUCCAAGGUUUCAUUUUUCCACCAUCUCCCUCCUUGAGUAUUAUCAACUACAGAAGGUGAUCAUUGCCUGACUUCUGCUCUUAAUGAGUAUCAUUUUUAAACAACAGCAAUGUCCUCUGCUUGGGCUGGCCAGGUCUGAAGUCAACUUCAGCUCUGCUAGGAUCUCAGCCACCCUUUGUGAGCACAUCAAAUUUGUCCAUGGAUCUUUAGACAAAACUGGGUCUAGGCUCCAACAGAUGGGAUAGAUGGCUACCAACCACCAUCUUGCAUUCCCCUUCUCCAGGGAAGCCAUGAAGCUCUUUUCCAUUCUGCUUCAACCAAGGUUUUUCUUGUGCUUGUUUAGGAGGCAAAAAUAGCUUUUUGCUAGGAUGCUGAUGAGGUUACACAGACUGAGCUGAGCAGCCUGGAGGAAGAGCUGGGAGGCAAUGGCCCAGCCACCUCCUUGCUGCUGCUCACCUAAAUUUUAGGAAAAGCUGUAAUGUCUGCUUGCCAGUUGGUUUGUAGGCAGUAAAUUCAGGGAGAUGUCUUAGAGUGAGAUAUGUGGAAGGGGGGCUUUUAGGUGACACACGCAUCAACCUUAUUCUUGCCUGGGAAGCCUCCAGUCUGUGCUGCUUGCCCUGGCUGGAACACAUAAGCACUCUCCUGGUGAUGCCAUCAGAUCAUGGGAACGUGAACUAGACUCAGGGAUAAUGUGCAGAUUGUUGGUAGCUGUGAAAGAUUGUGUAACAAUGGCAGAAGUGUGUGUGUGCAUAUCUAUUUGCAGUUUUGUCCCCUGCUAACAUCUAGUUCCAGAUCAGUAAUGGUAUUUUUUUUCACCUCCCUCUUUUCAGGUUCAUUGGGAUGUAAGAAUACUUUGUUCUCAACUAAGCUAAGCCCAUCACUCUGCAUUUGUUGCUGGCGAAGGCUAUGCGCAGAUGCACAUUAACUUUAAGGCAACUGCCAGCUUCUGGUGAUGCUGAAUUCUCCAUUUUUCAGCCCAGCUGGCCAAUGUAUAAGUGCUAAAAGUGGUGAUCUUAGGUUCAAACCUAGCCCAGCCUGAGGUUCGUAACAGUAGCACAGACAUUUGCUGUCAACAAAUACUCACAAAUGGUGAUGACAGUGCCCUAAGGCAAUUUCCUUCUAAUGCUGCUUGAGAUGAUGAGUGACUCAUACAAGCUUAGAAGUUUCCUCCGGGUUCUUUGGCUGGGUGGGAUGUCCUACUGAUGCUCUGAGGUUCUUGCAUUUAGGCAGGACUUGGUGUGCUGUCAGCCCGGCGGAUGAGCAGUGGGUCAUGGCUGAGCAAGAGACAAAGGAAUGGCUGAGACAAAGAUCUGAGCUGGUGACGCAGCAAUGGAAUGAGUUCUAAAUUUUGCAACAAAAAACCAUAUUCCUCUCCUCACUCGCUAAGAAGUCAUCUGACUUGGAAGGAUAUUUCCUAGAGAGCAUGAGAACGUAGCAGAUCAACUCUGCAGAAAGGAAUGGCCUUCUUCCUUCAGUAAGUGGCAAAAAGGAAACGAUUGUUCCUGUUUAACACAGCUCCAAAUCUGCAGCUUAUAAUAUUCCUGUUGAUCUCAGGCUUGUGGUUAUUUAUUUAGCUUAGCAUAUUCAAAUCUGAUUUGUUUGUUUCCCUUUCACUCUCAUGCUUCACUCCUUUACUCUCUCAUUGAGGUCAGCUUUGCAAAACUGUUCUUGUGCCAUCUUCCACCUGGAAUGGUUGGAAAGGUGAUCAGCACUGGUAAUUUUCCACUUUAUGGCAGGCUUUAUAAUAAAUAAUUAAGAAAAAUAAUAAAUAGCAGCAGUAUUAGCUCACUGGCACACAUGAAGUAGCUGUAGUUUAAAGUUUGGUGGUUUUUUUUUCUUUUGAUGAUGCAUCCUUAAGACUGUGUCUGUGUUAUGCUUUUGCUGUAAUUAAAUUAUUGCUUAUAAGAACUUUUGCUUGGUCAAAAAGAGAAAAAAAACCCACACAAUUAUAAUAAUUCCAUUUCAGUGUUUUCCAUAAGAUCCUGGCCAAGUUGGCCAAUAACUAAGGCAAGGAACUGGGGGAAAAAAAAGGUAUGUAUUGUAUACUCACUUAAAACUUGGCUAGAAAUGACCUUUUAUUGUCUAAUUUUUUUUUUCCAUGCCCAACUUGGCUACUGGAGACAAACUCAUUGCCAAGUUUCUACAGCAUGUUAUUUUCCUAUGUAUGAUGUGUUCAAAAACCCUUUCAAAAGCUUACCUCCAUGCGUCCUACAAGGGUUUUGCAUGGAUGAGGACAGAGGGUUUGGUGAUGUGGACUCUGGUGUUUCAAAGCUAGAUCUGUUUUGCCUGUGUUUUUCCCCCCUUCUGUCCCUUGUGUGGCCCAACAUGGAAUGCUCUACAAAAGGGCUGAGCCAGGAAGUGAGGUGAAGGCAGUGCUGUGCUGGUAAUGUAAACCUUGCUUUGGAGAGGCCCCAGGCAUCAUGUGGGCAUGGUGACAUUGGUUAGGGGCAUGCAGUCCCCACCUGGGUGAUGGCAAUGUGCCCUGUGCUGGGUCUGAGCACUCCAAUGGCUUUAAAGGCAAAAUAUAAGUGAGUGAUGCUGAGUUAAAGCUUCAAGUGGCCUCUUGACGAGCAAAAACCAAAGCCCCCAAACCAGCUCUGGUCAUUUUGUCUCAUCUGUAAUGACCUGUAUGUGACAUAAGUAACACUUUAGUUGUGAUAAAAAUAAGAACUAUUUUUUUUAUGUACAUAUUUGAUUUCAUUUCUGAUCUUUAUGAAGUUCCAUGAUGGUUGUGGGUUUUUUUUUUUGGUGGUGUAGCCCAUGUGUCUGAAUUACUAAAGCCAGAAAGACAGCUGCUUGGAAGCAGUAAUGAAGGUGAGACUUCUGUAGCUUUAAUUUCUCCUAUGUAUUUUUGUCUUCUAUAAGCCAUACAAAGGUAAGAACUUGCAGAGCUCAUGAUCAUGCAACUGCUUCUGGACACAUUUAAUUUUACUAUCCCCUGGCACAAACUGAAAACUUCUAUAGUACAGAGAUGUGAUCUCUGGCUUUUGAACAUACAUGAGAAAAUCAGUUAUGGAAGCAGAAAUAAAAGUGCAGUUUUGAAACGUGGUACAGGUUUCUCUCUGCUUUUUUGUGACAAGUCCUCCUCCAGGCCCACCUGAAAUGACUUGGGAGAAAAGCCUCCAUAACUGAGAGAAGAACCCAGACCAAUGAAACGUGAAAGAUGGUGACUAUGUUCAGAAUGGGUCCCUUUCCAUUUUCAGAUUAUUCUGUUUCCAUAUACUUGUUCUCAUGCUGUACAUGGACUGACUCUUCAUUUACAUGCUGGUAUGGGGUUGCAUAUUUAACUCUGUGCUCAGCUGGGAUUCAUUUGGUAUCUUAAAUGUAGGUCAAAAAAGAGACAACUUGAAAGAAAGGAGAGGGAGAAGAAAGGUCAUAUGUAGUGUGCUGUACACAGAUGGCUCCUUAGUGUUAGGACAUGUGGCAGAAUCCAAGCUCAGCUGACAGUUUGUUUGCACGAUGCAAAGCUCUUUCAAGGACUGCUGAGCCUCUGAAAGUAUCUGAGUGCAUUCUGCAGGAUGUUCACACUCUGACCUUGCAGAAGCCUUCAACCAACUGGAAUUUCUCAUCCACUUUUGCAAACUAGAAGGCUUAGUGCAAUGCUGUGAUGGGAUGGGGAUACAACCAAACAUUCUGCUGCUUGCCAGGUGUCUAAAAUCAGACUCCCCAGCUUGCCAAGGGGCAUUUUGUAGGUCCCGCCUCACCUGGCAUCUCAGCAGGGGCCAUGAAACUGAACAGAGGAUCCCUGUAGAUCAGCCUGUGCCUUUCUCCUGCUGAAAGACUGUGCAGAAAGCAAGGAUGAAGCAACUGCAAGAUUUAUGUUGGAACCAGAUCCCCAUGGAUCGGAACGUGAAUAACACCUCCAUCCCCUCCCAAACCUUCCAGACCUGACCUUUCACAAUCACCAUUUCCUGACCAGUGACUCCAAAGAAAAUAGAGCUGCUAGUUGGUAUUUAAUGGAAAUCUGCACAAAACUUGUCAAAAUACACCACCGUGCCUGUCAGAUGCCUGGGACAAGACCUCUACAGUAGUUUCCAGAAACCCAGGGCAAUUACUUACAUUUUAAAUUAUCUUUAAUUGUCACAUGUGAGUUACAGAAACAUUUCUCCCCACUCUGAGGCAAGACCUCGCUAUUAAGAGUCACCCCCUAAUUGCAGCUCUAAUGGGGAGCCAGGGCAGGUCAGCAUCAGGGUUAGCACAGGGCGAGGCAGGAGCACAGGGAAGUGGAGGUGAUGUAGCACAACAGUUGAGGAGGGGCAGCAUGGAGUGCCAGCUUCGUAGCAAACUAAAUUUGCUAACAACCCCACCAGAUGUUCUAAUCCAAUUUUCCUGCCCAUCCCCUGCCAGCAAAAGUGACAUUUUUUGCUUGUGUUUCUGACUGUGGACUCACAGCAUGGCUUGGGUUGGGGAAGGGACCUUAAGGAUCAUCCAAUUGCCAUGGAGUUUGUCUAGAACAAACUCAGUGAGUUGCUUCUUGGGCUUUUCUUUUCAGUUGCAGGAACUGAGCAUCCUUUUGUCAUCCAAGUGAUUACUCAGGUCUGAGCAUGGCACACACACUCGGUAUGUGUGGGAUUGAACUGAAUCAGACUGAACUCAUGGAUUGACACGGAUGUCACAGAGGGUGCAAGACUGAUGAAAAAUAGAUGAGGUGGUGGUGCAAAUCUGCUCAAGAGCUGAAUGACAACUGUUAGCCUGGCAAUGCUGAAUUCAAGCAGUCCCUGUCAAUAGUGUGAGAGAUGCUGCACCAGAUUUUCUGGGGCUGUCUGCAAAUUGACCUAAUGUUCCUGUUGACACAAAACCUUGGAAGAGCAGCUAAGAGCAGCAUUGCUGAACAUGCCUGAUUUGCUCACAGACUGUGGUCAGAUGUGAGCAGGAAAGCAAAUACUUGCUUAUGCAUCGAGGAGAGGGGAAAAUAGUGAAUUAACUAUGGACACAGAUGCAUGACAUUACCUUCCAGAAGCAGAUGUGCAGCACAGGGAAUGAACCAACACGGGGAGGAGUUUCCUCAGUCAGUGAAUUGGUUUUUGGUUCACGAGAACUCUGGCCGUGCACAUGCAACAUGUUGACUGCAUGGAAAAAUCUCCUUCUCUCUUCUUUCUUUCACACGAAAAAGAGAACCCACAAAUCAGAGGAGUCUCAAACUGUUCUUUGUUAAAGCACCACUUGAACAAUUUGCUUAAUUUUCACCACUUACUGCAUUAACUGCUGCUUUUCUUCCCCUCAGCCCCAUCCUGCUCCCCAGGCAGAGAGCAUUCGGAUUUGUCCCAAGCACAGCUCCAGCCACACACCUGCGGGAUGGAAACAGGCAGAGCAAACAAUGAAGCAAGGCUGUUUAUAAAGCCUUCAACACAUCAGGCAGGGAGAAGAGCCCAAGUUUCCAUGUCAAGGCCAAAAUGGACCAGAAUGACGCGAAACACAUGGAAAAUAUGGAAAAUGUGGAAUAAGUAAUAAAAUUAUAAAUAAAACAAAUACAAUAAAUUGGGAAUGCAGUUUUACUCAUAAUGAUUUGUGUUCCUAGUAACCCAAGACUCCCUUACCUUUGAAAACGAGCAUGUUUUUCCAGCAGGGAGCAGAGCACAGGUGAUGGGGCUGCUCGGGGCACCGGACCAACCAGAGGCAGAGGUAGGCAGCAGGGAACCUGGGCUGCAGUGUGCCCACAUGAGCCCUUUCUGUGACAACGACUUGCAUCAGGAUCUCAGGAAAAUCAUGUAAUCAGAUGGUGGUUAGCAUUAGUGCAGGAAUUUUGGCCAGAAGUGAGUCUUGGCUUGUUCUGGGCUGAGAAAUUCGCACUGGCGUUGUUACCCAGCUGCAGUUCUCUUGGGUUGCUUUGUCUCCUGUGCCUGUCUGGGUGUUGGUGACAGCAGUCAAUGUGUCCCUCGGUGAAUGGGGUCUCCUGAUGAUACCCGGCUCUGGUGGGACGAGGCUUCUGGGCUGUCCUUGCUCUCAUGCUGACCCUUGGGCUGUGGGAUCACACUGCUCUCAUUAAACACUUUUAACGAGGCUCUCUG